rnacentral:rRNA from 2 species
CCAAGGAGUCUAACAUAUGCGCGAGUCACUCGGUCUUGAAUAGGCCUGAAGGGCGAAAUGAAAGUAAAAUGUCUGAUCUGGGUGUAGCUGCCGUAAGGUAGGUCCCCAGCGCAAGACAGGCCCGCUUAUUCUGCUUUUUGACAGUUUAGCGGAGUUUGAGCGCAUACGUUGGUACCCGAAAGAUGGUGAACUAUGCUUGGGCAAGACGAAGCCAGAGGAAACUCUGGUGGAGGUCUGUAGCGAUUCUGACGUGCAAAUCGAUCGUCAGACCUGAGUAUAGGGGCGAAAGACUAAUCGAACCAUC